rnacentral:rRNA from 1 species
AUUGAACGCUGGCGGCAGGCCUAACACAUGCAAGUCGAACGAGUGGCGGACGGGUGAGUAAUGGCUGGGAAACUGCCCGAUGGAGGGGGAUAACUACUGGAAACGGUAGCUAAUACCGCAUACCAGCGGAUGUGCCCAGAUGGGAUUAGCUAGUAGGGGGGGUAACGGCUCACCUAGGCGACGAUCCCUAGCUGGUCUGAGAGGAUGACCAGCCACACUGGAACUGAGACACGGUCCAGACUCCUACGGGAGGCAGCAGUGGGGAAUAUUGCACAAUGGGCGCAAGCCUGAUUCAGCCAUGCCGCGUGUAUGAAGAAGGCCUUCGGGUUGUAAAGUACUUUCAGCGAGGAGGCGUUACUCGCAGAAGAAGCCCCGGCUAACUCCGUGCCAGCCGCCGCGGUAAUUC